rnacentral:rRNA from 1 species
CCUACGGGAGGCAGCAGUGAGGAAUAUUGGUCAAUGGGAGGAAUCCUGAACCAGCCAUGCCGCGUGCAGGACGACGGCUCUACGAGUUGUAAACUGCUUUUGUACCGGGGUAAAAUGCUCUACGUGUAGGGUUUUGCACGUACGUUACGAAUAAGGAUCGGCUAACUCCGUGCCAGCAGCCGCGGUAAUACGGAGGGGGCGGGCGUUUUUCGGAGUUACUGGGAGUAAAGAGAACGUAGGCGGGGUUGUAAGUCAUUAGUCAAAGAUUAGAGCUCAACUUUAGUAAGGCUAGUGAUACUAUAAGACUAGAGUAUAGGAGAGGAGGGCAGAAUUCCUGGUGUAGCGGUGAAAUGCGUAGAUAUCAGGAGGAACACCGGUAGCGAAGGCGGCAAACUGGAUGGAAACUGACGCUGAGGUGCGAAAGCGUGGGUAGCAAACAGGAUUAGAUACCCUAGUAGUC